AGCGGACAGAAGGGAGCUUGCUCCCGGAUGUUAGCGGCGGACGGGUGAGUAACACGUGGGUAACCUGCCUGUAAGACUGGGAUAACUCCGGGAAACCGGAGCUAAUACCGGAUAGUUCCUUGAACCGCAUGGUUCAAGGAUGAAAGACGGUUUCGGCUGUCACUUACAGAUGGACCCGCGGCGCAUUAGCUAGUUGGUGGGGUAAUGGCUCACCAAGGCGACGAUGCGUAGCCGACCUGAGAGGGUGAUCGGCCACACUGGGACUGAGACACGGCCCAGACUCCUACGGGAGGCAGCAGUAGGGAAUCUUCCGCAAUGGACGAAAGUCUGACGGAGCAACGCCGCGUGAGUGAUGAAGGUUUUCGGAUCGUAAAGCUCUGUUGUUAGGGAAGAACAAGUGCGAGAGUAACUGCUCGCACCUUGACGGUACCUAACCAGAAAGCCACGGCUAACUACGUGCCAGCAGCCGCGGUAAUACGUAGGUGGCAAGCGUUGUCCGGAAUUAUUGGGCGUAAAGGGCUCGCAGGCGGUUUCUUAAGUCUGAUGUGAAAGCCCCCGGCUCAACCGGGGAGGGUCAUUGGAAACUGGGAAACUUGAGUGCAGAAGAGGAGAGUGGAAUUCCACGUGUAGCGGUGAAAUGCGUAGAGAUGUGGAGGAACACCAGUGGCGAAGGCGACUCUCUGGUCUGUAACUGACGCUGAGGAGCGAAAGCGUGGGGAGCGAACAGGAUUAGAUACCCUGGUAGUCCACGCCGUAAACGAUGAGUGCUAAGUGUUAGGGGGUUUCCGCCCCUUAGUGCUGCAGCUAACGCAUUAAGCACUCCGCCUGGGGAGUACGGUCGCAAGACUGAAACUCAAAGGAAUUGACG
rnacentral:rRNA from 1 species